rnacentral:rRNA from 1 species
CAGAGGUGCCAAGCGUUAGGCGGAAUCACUGGGCUUAAAGCGUGUGUAGGCGGAUUUGUAAGUACCUUGUGAAAUCCCACAGCUCAACUGUGGAACUGCUGGGUAUACUGCUUAUCUUGAGCCACUUAGGGGCUGUCGGAACAAAUGGUGGAGCGGUGAAAUGCGUAGAUAUCAUUUGGAACGCCAACGGUGAAAACAGACAGCUGGGAGUGUGCUGACGCUGAGACACGAAAGCCAGGGGAGCGAACGGG